rnacentral:rRNA from 1 species
GGAUUAGAAACCCGGGUAGUCCACGCCGUAAACUAUGGAUACUAGCUGUUGGGGGUAUCGACCCCCCCAGUAGCGAAGCUAACGCGUUAAGUAUCCCGCCUGUGGAGUACGGUCGCAAGACUAAAACAUAAAGGAAUUGACGGGGACCCGCACAAGCGGUGGAUCAUGUUCUUUAAUUCGAUGAUAAACGAAGAACCUUACCAGGGUUUGACAUCCCAAGAAUUUUGUCGAAAGACGAGAGUGCUUUAUUGAACUUGGUGACAGGUGAUGCAUGGCCGUCGUCAGCUCGUGUCGUGAGAUGUUUGGUUAAGUCCAUCAACGAGCGCAACCCUUGUGAAUAGUUGUAUUUUUCUAUUCAAACUGCCCCGGCAACGGGGAGGAAGGAGGGGAUGAU